GUUCAAUUCUGUCUGGUAGUGAGAUAUACCAUGAUCUCUAUCAUAGUAUCAUUGAAACUCUUUUCAAUAGAUUGAAACAAUUCUAACUCACACCUAUCUAGAAUCAUCGAUCUACCAUGAUCCUAGUGAGCUCUCACAAUCCACUAGUGACAUCUAAUAAUAUGUGGUGACAAGCUAACAGAACUGAAGAGAUGAAUCUCUAGGUGCAGUUAUCAUUUGAUCUGAUUCUUCUAUCGUGAGUCUGGACAAGAUCGAGGUCAGGAUUAACUCAUCAAACCUCAUCACUAUCAUAUGAUAGAAUCAUUCGAUUCGAGUCUGAUGUGAAAUUCAAUAGAAACAUCUUUCUAUCUUUCACAGUGCCAUAGCCAUGAGCUUAUGGACUCAAUCUCAUGAUCUACAUAGGACUACUCCUCUAUCGAAGUCGAUAGAUCUCAUAUUGGUGUAACCAAAUCC
rnacentral:lncRNA from 1 species